CGCCUCUCGAUAGCAUGAGAGGUCCAGCCUGCCCAGUGACUAAGUUCAACGGCCGCGGUACCCUAACCGUGCGAAGGUAGCGUAAUCACUUGUUUUUUAAAUGAAGACUAGUAUGAAAGGCAUCACGAGGGUUAUACUGUCUCCUUUUUCUAAUCAAUGAAACUGAUCUCCCCGUGAAGAAGCGGGGAUGCUUUUAUAAGACGAGAAGACCCUAUGGAGCUUUAAACAAUUAUAGCACUGGCCCACGCCUCCUAUUCUCCUGAGAUAUAACUAUUAUCUAAGCCAGCAUGACUAUUAGUUUUAGGUUGGGGUGACCGCGGAGCAAAAAUCAACCUCCACGUUGAACGGAGCUACUCCUGAGCCAAAAGCUACAACUUUAAGCACCAAUAAACUGACAUCUAUUGACCCAACAUGUUGAUCAACGAACCAAGUUACCCUAGGGAUAACAGCGCAAUCCAUUUCAAGAGCUCCUAUCGACAAAUGGGUUUACGACCUCGAUGUUGGAUCAGGGUAUCCCAGUGGUGCAGCCGCUACUAAAGGUUCGUUUGUUCAACGAUUAAAACCCU
rnacentral:rRNA from 1 species